GAUGAACGCUGGCGAGAUGCUUUACACAUGCAAGUCGUACGAGAGUCUUUGACUCAAGUGGCGGACGGGUGAGUAACACGUAAGAAUUUGCCUUUAGGAGGGGGACAACAACUGGAAACGGUUGCUAAUACCCCAUAUGCUUUCGAGUGAAAUGGAUUUUUCCGCCUAGAGAGAAGCUUGCGGCUGAUUAGCUUGUUGGUGAGGUAAUGGCUCACCAAGGCGACGAUCAGUAUCUGGUUUGAGAGGACGAUCAGACACACUGGAACUGAGACACGGUCCAGACUCCUACGGGAGGCAGCAGUGGGGAAUUUUCCGCAAUGGGCGAAAGCCUGACGGAGCAAUCUCGCGUGAGGGAUGACUGCCUAUGGGUUGUAAACCUCUUUUUUCAGGGAGGAAUAAAUGACGUGUACCUGAAGAAUAAGCAUCGGCUAACUCCGUGCCAGCCGCCGCCGUAACAC
rnacentral:rRNA from 1 species